rnacentral:tRNA from 1 species
AGGAGCGUAGUUCCAAUGGUAGAACAGCGGUCUCCAAAACCGACGGUUGAGGGUUCGAAUCCUUCCGCUCCUGCCA